rnacentral:lncRNA from 1 species
CUCCCUGGUAUCAGAGGAGUCUGCUGGCAGCCUCAGUGUGUGUCUGUGUGUGUGUUCGGUCUGGAGGAUGGCAUCUCUCAGCCUCCUGCUGCUCAGCACCGCUCUGAUCCACACCGCCCAGUCAUUUCCUGCUGCUUGGGCAGGGGGGCGCGGCCUGGCUUUGUCAGGAGGCGGAGUCAGACGCCAGCGCAGAGACCUCCGCAACAUGCUCCCUUAUGAGGACCAGAUGAUGUCAUACCCUGCCAUGGAGAGAGGAGCCAGUGGGGUUGAUGACCUGUACUUCCAAUCAGAUGACUGGAGGGGGCGGGGCUUGGACCAGGCCCUGCAGCGAUUGGUGGAGAGGGACCAAAGGAGGGAGGUGGAGGAGGAGCAGCGGGCAGCCUACCUAGCAGCUUUGCUCCGCCUACUGAGCGAGGCAGAGAGCGCGGGAUUGGUUGGCCCAGGUGAUGUGGAAGUGGUUGAGGAAGAGGAGGAUGAAGAAAAUGAUCAGGGGCCCCCGGAGGACUUCCAGAGCCCUGUCCCACCAGACUACGACGACACAGGACGAGGGAUAAGCAUGGGGAGGCCCCCAGCCGCCUGGUGGGGGCUUGUGGAACCCCGGCUGGCUCAGAGUCUGCUGGACAGGAUGGAGCCCCGCCUCGCUCAGACUCUGCUGGAGAGAGCGAGGCAGGAGAGACUCCAACAGCCCGGAAGAGUCCCAUCAGGACUCAGCAGGGACCAAGACACCCUCAGUCGGGUGGUUGCUAGGAUACUGUCCAGCAUGGGCCCCAAUGACGCCCCGCUGGUCUACUCUGGGCGCAGAGUGAGGAGAGACCUGUCUGAACCCUCAAGCCCCACCCACAGGAGAAGCCGCCGUUCUCUUGACGAUGUGGCUCCACCCUUACCCAGCAACGAGCCUCCUCUGCUCAGGGUGAAGAGGCUGGAGGAGGAGGAGCAGGAGGAAAAACCCCGCCCCCAGACCGCAGGGCUGCAGAGGAUGAAACGCAUCGAUACCAUGGCAACCGCUGACAGUGAAGGACUGAAUCAUGGGGGUCGUAAGCGCCAGAAGAGAGCGACGCUGAACUUCGACCCCCAAGUACUAAUGGAUCAGAUUCUGGAGUACAUAAGAGAGCGAACACCCCCGCUUCUGAUGACCUCACAGUCUGAAGCUCUCUGAUUGGCUGGCUACUCGACUCCUCCCAUUAAACAGCUUUUUCAGUGCAGACUUCCUCCAUCAGAUGGUAGCCAUAGCGACAGCCCAUCAGCUCUGUGAUUGGUUGGUUCUGGUCGUGUUCUUGUGCUCUCAGCUUUCUGUCAUGUGACGUCUGUCUGUGGUGAAACUUGAUUUCUGUCACUAUGAAAUAAAAUCAGUAACCUG